rnacentral:rRNA from 1 species
GAGUUUGAUCCUGGCUCAGAACGAACGCUGGCGGCGUGCCUAACACAUGCAAGUCGGACGUGAUCCAGAGCUUGCUCUGGUGAAAGUGGCGCACGGGUGAGUAACGCGUGGAUAACCUACCCUGGUAUCCGGGAUAACAUUCCGAAAGGGGUGCUAAUACCGGAUAAGCCCACGGGCUCUUUGGAGCUUGCGGGAAAAGGUGGCCUCUAUUUAUAAGCUACUGUAUCAGGAUGGGUCCGCGUACCAUUAGCUAGUUGGCGGUGUAACGGACCACCAAGGCGACGAUGGUUAGCUGGUCUGAGAGGAUGAUCAGCCACACUGGAACUGAGACACGGUCCAGACUCCUACGGGAGGCAGCAGUGGGGAAUUUUGCGCAAUGGGGGAAACCCUGACGCAGCAACGCCGCGUGAGUGAUGAAGGCCUUUGGGUCGUAAAGCUCUGUCAGAGGGGAAGAAAUGAUAUAGUGCUAAUACCACUUUAUCUUGACGGUACCCUCAAAGGAAGCACCGGCUAACUCCGUGCCAGCAGCCGCGGUAAUAC